AUGAUGCGCCCCAAGGAUCAGGCACUAGUGGAAUUAUGUGACCCAGAAAGGCUCCAGGUGUGUCUGAGGCUUCAAAGCCUGCCGAUGCUCUCUCUGGCGCUCAGAGCCCUCACCAUGUUGUCAGAGAGACCUAAGAUGGGAAGAAAAUUGUUCUUCCUGCUGCCGGACGUGAUGAAUACACUGCUGUAUGACAACACACACAUCACUGAGAAGGCCCUGACUGUCUUCGAAAACGUGAUCGGUCAUCUGGAGAAGAGGGAGGCCAGCCCCAUCGCUCUGGCACUGGCUGAGAGACUCCUGCCUCUUUUUAACAACGAGUCCAGUGAGGUGCAAGAGCGCUCCAUUCUUCUCUUCAAAGACUUGAUGGAGUGUGUGGUGUGGUGGAAAAAAGGAGAAAUGAAGAAGACCAUGCGCAGGGCCCUUAUUCCACUGUUGUUCCGGAUGAGUGAUGAGACUGAGAGCGUGGCCAAGGCGUCAGCAGUAGUCCUACUUGCUUGUACAAUGUUCCUGAAGUGGAAACAGCUUGAGCACCUGGCUCAGAACGAAGACAUCACUAGGAUUAGGGAGUACUUGGUAAGGAGAACCGCCCAGCCCCACGCCCCAAAUGGACAAGCCUGCCCGAUGUGCCCAGGCUGUGGGCUGUGCAGCUGUGCGUGGCCUGCGCUGCUCCAGCCCAGAGUCCACCGCCUGCUGCUGCCCUGUGGCUCCCUUCCCUCCAGCACAGAGCCCCAAGGGCUCUUCUGCAGGCCCCCCUGCCUUCCCCACCCCCAGGAUGCGGAGGAGAGCCUAGCCCAUCUGGGCCUUGGCAGCGGGACAGAAGGGUCUCCUAACUCUCUCCAAACCUCGGCCCCACAGAGCUCCUGGCUGGGAGCUGGGGAUGGCCUGGGGGAAAGGGGGAGGGGGGUGCUGGCAGGAGGGACUGGUCCGGCUGGCUGGGGAGGGUAUGUGAGCCCCGCGCCCUUGUGCUUUCUCCAGCUCAAGCAGAAGAGCAGCAGGGUGGACGAAUACCUGCAGCAGAGCCUGCCAUACCUGGAGGAUGCUCAGGCCAACUUGCGACAGGAGGCUGUCAAAUUCAUCGGUGAGUCCAGGCCCCGCUUCCCUGUCUGGGCCCUGCCCUGGCAGCAAGGCGCAGCCCUGUGGGCCCUGAAGCCCCUGAUUGUAGCCCCAGGAGCCCUGUGCCUCCCUCAGCCCCCUGCCCAUGCAGGUGGGCCUGGUGUGUGCCUUGCUCAAGCUCCCCCUUAGGCUCCGUCCUUGGCGGGGAGCUGGAGGGGACGCAGCCAGGCUGGCUGGACAUGGGGCUGUGCUGGGAAGCAGGCUCUGACCGUAACACUGUGCCUAGGGCUUGCUGUCUACCAUGCUGGCAUCCAGAGUGAGGAGAAGCUGAAUGAGCUCAUCCAAGGUGAGUGCGGGCGGUGCUGGGGGUGCUGCGCCCAGUGGAGAGGGGGCAGAGCCCACGCAGUGUGCAGCCAUGCCUUGCCCUGCUCCAGGGAAAUGCUGCAGUGGCAGAGGGAUGUGGGGGGACAUGUGGGAUGCUCCUGAGCAGCAGCUUCCAGCUGAUCCCUUUAUCCCACUUGCUCCCCGUGGCCAGGGAAGGAGACAGGUGGGGCUGGCAUGGUCUGGAGGCAUGCCGGGGGGGUCUCUGAAGGUCGGUGGGUUUCAUCUCUGCUCUGUUUCUUUCUGUUGCAGCCCUCCAACUUGUCACGAAGGAUGUCGAUUCAUCACUCUGUGUUCUGGCAGCUCAGACCAUCCUAUGCCUGAGAAGUCGAAUUAAGAGGCCAAUACCUCUAUGGGUUCAGCUUGCAGAACUUUUCUGCUGGCCCUGCAUAGCCAGGGCAUACGGCUCUGUUUGAUUAAAGCUGGAACAGCAAAUCCAGUCUCGUUGUGUCCUUUACAUGGGCAGCAGCCUGAGUGCCGUUCCUGGCCUCUGCCACUGUGGGCUAUCUGUCAGCACAGCCUGGCUGCAGGAUUGUUUGAGAAGUUCAGCCCUUCAUUACGCUUUGCCCUCCAAGUGGCUGAGUUUCUUCACCCGUGUGGAAGUCUUUUAUUUCAGGAAACAGAGGGUAAAAGCAGCCUCUGGAGGAAUGAGGAUUGCCCCAAGAGCUGCCUGAUGCCCACGCUUUCCAGCAGCCCAUGGCAGCGCAGCAUGUACUGGGCCACUGUGCCCUUGCAGCAACCUCCCCUGGCUGCCCUGCUGCACCUUAACACUCCAAGGGGAGGAGGAGAGAAGCUUGGGCCCAGCCUG
ensembl:lncRNA